GGCGAACGGGUGAGUAACGCGUGGGUGACCUGCCCCGAAGUGUGGGAUAACAGCUCGAAAGGGCUGCUAAUACCGCAUGUGGCUUUCCGGAUUAGAUGCCGGGUCUCUAAAGGAGCAAUUCGCUUCGGGAGGGGCCUGCGUCCCAUCAGCUAGUUGGUAAGGUAACGGCUUACCAAGGCGACGACGGGUAGGGGACCUGAGAGGAUGACCCCCCACACUGGCACUGAAACACGGGCCAGACACCUACGGGUGGCAGCAGUAGGGAAUCUUGCACAAUGGGCGCAAGCCUGAUGCAGCAACGCCGCGUGCGCGAUGAAGGCCUUCGGGUCGUAAAGCGCUUUUCUGGAGGACGAGAGCGGACGGUACUCCAGGAAGAAGGCUCGGCUAACUACGUGCCAGCAGCCGCGGUAAAACGUAGGAGCCUAGCGUUAUCCGAAUUUACUGGGCGUAAAGCGCGUGCAGGCGGCUUCGUAAGUGGGCUGUGAAAUCUCCCGGCUCAACUGGGAGGGGACGGUCCAGACUGCGAGGCUGGAGGCAGGGAGAGGGAGGUGGAAUUCCCGGUGUAGUGGUGAAAUGCGUAGAGAUCGGGAGGAACACCUGUGGCGAAAGCGGCCUCCUGGCCCUGACCUGACGCUGAGACGCGAAAGCUAGGGGAGCGAACGGGAUUAGAAACCCCGGUAGUCC
rnacentral:rRNA from 1 species